rnacentral:rRNA from 1 species
AACGAACGCUGGCGGCAGGCUUAACACAUGCAAGUCGAACGCCCCGCAAGGGGAGUGGCAGACGGGUGAGUAACGCGUGGGAAUCUACCUAGUUCUACGGAACAACAGUUGGAAACGACUGCUAAUACCGUAUACGCCCUAUGGGGGAAAGAUUUAUCGGAAUUAGAUGAGCCCGCGUAAGAUUAGCUAGUUGGUGGGGUAAUGGCCUACCAAGGCGACGAUCUUUAGCUGGUCUGAGAGGAUGAUCAGCCACACUGGGACUGAGACACGGCCCAGACUCCUACGGGAGGCAGCAGUGGGGAAUAUUGGACAAUGGGCGCAAGCCUGAUCCAGCCAUGCCGCGUGAGUGAUGAAGGCCUUAGGGUUGUAGAGCUCUUUCAGUGGGGAAGAUAAUGACGGUACCCACAGAAGAAGCCCCGGCUAACUUCGUGCCAGCCGCCGCUGUAAUAC